CCUCGCCUAUCAGUCAGGAACUUUGACUUGUACAGCAACAUGUCCAAGCAAGCUGGCCAUACAGGAGAGGCCAUUUGGUGUGGAAAGACUGCUGCUCCAAUGACCAGGUCAAAGGACAUCACUGCUGAUCAACAGAGUCAACAGCACCAAUGGGAGACAAGGGGGAGCAAAUCUGGCCCAUCUUCAGUGGCUGACCAGGACAGACAAUCAGUACGCUGCACUGUGAGCCCCCAAUAGA
rnacentral:sRNA from 1 species